UACGGGGGGAGCAAGCGUUGUUCGGAUUUACUGGGCGUAAAGGGCGCGUAGGCGGUCAGCACAAGUCAGUUGUGAAAUCUCCGGGCUUAACCCGGAAAGGUCAACUGAUACUGUGCGACUAGAGUGCGGAAGGGGCAACUGGAAUUCUCGGUGUAGCGGUGAAAUGCGUAGAUAUCGAGAGGAACACCGAUGGCGAAGGCAGGUCUCUGGGCUGACACUGACGCUCAUGCACGAAAGCGCGGGGAGCAAACAGG
rnacentral:rRNA from 1 species